GAGUUUGAUCUUGGCUCAGAACGAACGCUGGCGGCAGGCCUAACACAUGCAAGUCGAACGGGCGUAGCAAUACGUCAGUGGCAGACGGGUGAGUAACGCGUGGGAACGUACCCUUUGGUUCGGAAUAACCCGGGGAAACUCGGGCUAAUACCGGAUACGUCCGCAAGGAGAAAGAUUUAUCGCCGAAGGAUCGGCCCGCGUCGGAUUAGCUAGUUGGUGGGGUAAUGGCUCACCAAGGCGACGAUCCGUAGCUGGUCUGAGAGGAUGAUCAGCCACACUGGGACUGAGACACGGCCCAGACUCCUACGGGAGGCAGCAGUGGGGAAUAUUGGACAAUGGGCGAAAGCCUGAUCCAGCCAUGCCGCGUGAGUGAAGAAGGCCCUAGGGUUGUAAAGCCCUUUCAGCGGGAAGAUAAUGACGGUACCCGCAGAAGAAGCCCCGGCUAACUCCGUGCCAGCCGCCGCAGUAAU
rnacentral:rRNA from 1 species